GACGAACGCUGGCGGCGUGCUUAACACAUGCAAGUCGAACGGAAAGGCCCUGCUUUUGUGGGGUGCUCGGGUGGCGAACGGGUGAGUAACACGUGAGUAACCUCCCCUUGACUUUCGGAUAACUUCAGGAAACUGGGGCUAAUACCGGAUAGGAGCUCCUGCUGCAUGGUGGGCGUUGGAAAGUUUCGGCGGGUGGGGAUGGACUCGCGGAUUAUCAGCUUGUUGGUGGGGGAGUGGCAUACCAAGGCUUUGACGGGUAGCCGGCCUGGGAGGGUGACCGGCCACAUUGGGCCUGAGAUACGGCCCAGACUCCAACGGGAGGCAGCAGGGGGGAAUAUUGCACAAUGGGCGGAAGCCUGAUGAAGAGGCGCCGCGUGCGGGAUGACGGCCUUCGGGUUGUAAACCGCUUUCGCCUGUGACGAAGCGUGAGUGACGGUAAUGGGUAAAGAAGCACCGGCUAACUACGUG
rnacentral:rRNA from 1 species